rnacentral:rRNA from 1 species
GACGAACGCUGGCGGCGUGCCUAAUACAUGCAAGUAGAACGCUGAAGGAGGAGCUUGCUUCUCUGGAUGAGUUGCGAACGGGUGAGUAACGCGUAGGUAACCUGCCUGGUAGCGGGGGAUAACUAUUGGAAACGAUAGCUAAUACCGCAUAAGAGUAGAUGUUGCAUGACAUUUGCUUAAAAGGUGCAAUUGCAUCACUACCAGAUGGACCUGCGUUGUAUUAGCUAGUUGGUGGGGUAACGGCUCACCAAGGCGACGAUACAUAGCCGACCUGAGAGGGUGAGCGGCCACACUGGGACUGAGACACGGCCCAGACUCCUACGGGAGGCAGCAGUAGGGAAUCUUCGGCAAUGGACGGAAGUCUGACCGAGCAACGCCGCGUGAGUGAAGAAGGUUUUCGGAUCGUAAAGCUCUGUUGUAAGAGAAGAACGAGUGUGAGAGUGGAAAGUUCACACUGUGACGGUAUCUUACCAGAAAGGGACGGCUAACUACGUG